rnacentral:rRNA from 1 species
UACGAAGGGGGCUAGCGUUGUUCGGAAUUACUGGGCGUAAAGGGCGCGUAGGCGGUGUGUCAAGUCAGGCGUGAAAGCCCCGGGCUCAACCUGGGAACUGCGUCCGAUACUGGAAGGCUUGAAUCCGGGAGAGGGAUGCAGAAUUCCAGGUGUAGCGGUGAAAUGCGUAGAUAUCUGGAGGAAUACCGGUGGCGAAGGCGGCAUCCUGGACCGGCAUUGACGCUGAGGAGCGAAAGCCAGGGGAGCAAACGGG